UGGGGAAUAUUGCACAAUGGGCGCAAGCCUGAUGCAGCGACGCCGCGUGAGGGAUGACGGCCUUCGGGUUGUAAACCUCUUUCAGCACGGAAGAAGCGAAAGUGGCGGUACGUGCAGAAGAAGCGCCGGCUAACUACGUG
rnacentral:rRNA from 1 species